GAUGAACGCUAGCGAUAGGCUUAACACAUGCAAGUCGAGGGGCAGCAUGGUCUUAGCUUGCUAAGGCUGAUGGCGACCGGCGCACGGGUGCGUAACGCGUAUGCAACUUGCCUCACAGAGGGGGAUAACCCGUAGAAAGACGGACUAAUACCGCGUACACUCUAUGUUGGGCAUCCAAUGUAGAGGAAAUGAAAUUGGCUGUGAGAUAGGCAUGCGUCCCAUUAGCUAGUGGGUGAGGUAACGGCUCACCAAGGCGACGAUGGGUAGGGGAGCUGAGAGGUUGAACCCCCACACUGGUACCGAGACACGGACCAGACUCCUACGGGAGGCAGCAGUGAGGAAUAUUGGUCAAUGGGCGAGAGCCUGAACCAGCCAAGUCGCGUGAAGGAUGACUGUCUUAGGGAUUGUAAACUUCUUCUAUACGGGAAUAACAAGAGUCACGUGUGGCUCCCUGCAUGUACCGUAUGAAUAAGCAUCGGCUAACUCCGUG
rnacentral:rRNA from 1 species